rnacentral:rRNA from 1 species
UAUAUUUAAAGUCUAUUGUUAUUAUUCAUAUUAAUUUUUUUACAAGUUUUUCGAUUUUAUAUGGGUUUAUUUUUGUAAACAGAGAGAAUAUCGAAUUUUAGGAAUAGAUAAUAAUAAUUUAUAAUUUUGAUUAGAUCUAUAUGUUAAUGCUAUAAAAUGGGUGUGGAAACUUAGAAAAAAUAAAUUAAAAAAUUUAAUAAUAAAUUACAUAUUACUUAUUAGUCAGAAAUGGAUGCCAGCCGUUGCGGUAAUUUCUAUGCUUUUGAAUAUUAUACAAAUAUCAAAAUGUAAAUUGUUAAUGUAAUACUUUAGCCAAUAAAAAAUGUAUGAUAAGUUUUAUUUGUUUUUAAACACCGUUUGGUAGACGCAAAUAUAAAAUUAUAGUAAUUAUAUAUUAUAUUAUAUUAUAUUUAUUCAAAUAACUAAAAUAGUAAAAUUUAAUGUAUUUGACACCAUGAUAAGGCUAAUAGCUUGGAAUUGUAAAUUUUAUAAUCAAAACAUAUUAUUUAUAUUAAAAAGGUAAAUUUAGAUAAAACAAUAAAUUAAAAAGGUAUUGUUGCCCACCAAUUUUUAUAAUAAAAAUAACGUGCAGUAAUUAAUAUAUUUAUAAAAAUAUAUUCCGACGAAAU